AGAAGAAGAAGAAGAAGAAGAAGAAUGGGAGUUUUUUCAAACAAGAUCGGAAGGGAUGAGUUGAAGCCAGGGGAUCACAUCUACUCUUGGAGGCUCGCUUACAUAUACUCUCAUCAUGGGAUAUAUGUUGGCGAUGGAAUGGUGAUCCACUUUACACGUGGAGCAGGUCAGGAGAUAGGGACAGGAACUGUUUUAGACCGAA
rnacentral:misc_RNA from 1 species